rnacentral:lncRNA from 1 species
UAAUAUUAUCGCAUUUCUCAAUAUGCAUGACAUCCAAAUUAUGUCGCAACAAGAGAGAUUUCCAAUAUGGAAGUUCAAAAAAGAUAAUUUUCUUGUUCCAAUUAUCCUUUCGCUUUUCAUGUGAUAUCUUCCUCUUUUUCUUAGGAUCCUUUGUUAAUGGUUGCCCUUCAAGAUCUUGCACUUGAUUAAGUAUAUCAAUUCCAGAACAUGUUUUCGGUG